rnacentral:lncRNA from 1 species
GUUAUUGGUUGCUGUCUGACCUAAGCUCUUAUAAAGUAACCCAAUACUCUGCCCCUCCAGAACAAACCCAGCAAAUGCUCCCUGCUGAGGAGCAGCAGUGAGUCCUUAGCAGGCUGCUCCCCAUCUGGAUAGGCUGUUAUUGGGGUGACUCAGGAGCUGCUUCACAAAAUGCAGGAAACGUUUCCCAUCUUUAUCCUGAUUGCAUCUGAACUAUUGGAUUUAUCUGGUGCCUCCAGAGACGAGCCCCACAUCAGUGGAGCACCAGGCCUGGGCUCUGCUGGAGGAACCCAGCUGAGAGCCGAGAGCAGCCCGGUGCCCAGCGAGGAGCAACCCGUUACAGGAGCUGACUCGGAGGAGGUGACCUUCCACUCCCAGACUGCAGCAGUUGAUCCUACCAGUGAAAUGACAGCUGACUUCAUUGCUGUCCACACAGAGAGAGCUCCAAGAGCAACAGCCACGCUGCCUAAGGAGGUGGUUAGAAACUUAGAGAGGUCUGAUCUACUACCUGCUUUAAAACUCCAGGAAGGAGAUGCAUUUCCUAACAAUCUCCUGAGUAAUGUAAGUGUCCCCUCCUCUGCACAAGGACCACAGGCCACCACCCAUCCAGAGCAGUCAGAGAGGUCAGUGCCAGGCAGAGCUCAAACUGUCCCUGAGGCUGCCCUCAGCCCGACCAGCAGUGCUGGGCUGCCCCAGCCCACUCCCACUGUGGGGGUGCACCAAGACUCUCGGGGGGUUGCAGCCAUCUCUCCCAUUCCUGUUCUCAAGCAGAGGGAGGUGCCAAGUCCUAAAAUUUCUCUUCUGACUUCAACGGUAAAUUUCCAUCCUCCAAGAAGAGAAACAGCAGCAUAUCCGUUUCCCACCAGUGUUAAGAUGGCUCUUGUAAAUGCAGGGGUGGGCCAGUUACCAGCACUAGUACCCUCCACUACAAAAAGGCCAAAGGAUGCAAGUCCCCAAGUCCAGCCUGACAGCAGAGCUGCUGUGACACCUGCAUACGUCAAGAGUGUAGAUGCUCAACUUACUACUUCUGUAAUCACACACAAGCCAGCUUCAGUCGGCCUUGAUGCAGCCUAUUUCAGAGUCACGAAGACAACUGCUGUUCAGUUUCCCCCUCUUUUAUCUCUUAACCAAGAACCAGCAGGCAGUGAAGACAGAAACUCAGUAACAGCUGUGAUAAAGGGCUCUAGACACACAACUGUGUUGCCUGCUCUUCAGCAGCUCCUGCAAGGCACUGGGCACUCUUCUUCAUUACCAAUGCAUCCUGAAGCUCUAGGUCAUGAUGAUUUGAUUCCACCUCCAUUUCAAGGGGCCCUUAAUGUAGCUGGUAGACCACAGCCUCUCCUGUUGUCCCGGACUCUCAACUGUACUAAGCACCAUGCUUCACAUGACACUAACAGGAGCACUCAGGAAAGCACAGUCCUAGUUUUACAAAGAGAUGCUGAUCACCAGAUGAUGACAAGUAAGCCUGAAAAAUCCACAUCCUCUGAGAGCCCCCAGGCUGCUUCUAAUUCACCUUCAUUAGGGCAGUCACAAAUCGCCAUGGUAAACCUCUCCCAAACUACCAGAGAGCUAAAAGGAGACACAUUUCCACGCCUUCCAAGUGCAUCUACCUUUGAGAAGGCAGCCCUUCCACCUUUAAGCACUCCUGCUGCUGUUCACGCAGCAAUUCAGCCACGAGCUACAACUGUUCCUCCUUAUGCUGGAUUGCAGCCGAUGGGUGUCCCCACCUCUGCUGCGAGAGGACUCCACGUACUGACUUCAACUGCUGGUUCUGGGUCUCAGGUUCAAGGCGUUUCAGCCCAUCCUGGACCUCAGGAAGCAUUUGCUGCGAUGCCACAGAUGAGCACGGUGGAAGAUUCCAAGGGACAGAAAAGUCUUCCACAUCGGAUAGAUAAGGCUGGUUCUCCACUGACGCCACAAGCCAGCGUGGUCUCCAGCCCCUCUGGACUGCAUGAGGAGAACCAGAAAGCUUCUCGUGACAGCUCUGCCCCUUCAGCCUCCAUGAUCCAGCAUGCUGGCAGCCUGGAAGCUUUUGUUGCCAGCUUGCAGCCACCCCACGCACAGGAAAGCCAGCCCAGCACAACAACAGCACGUCCUGAGCCGGCAGUGCCCGUUGUUUCUGAGAUCCCGGCACAUCUGGCCCAAGCACUGCUGCAGCAGUUUGGUGCAUCGCAUGAUGCAGCUACCAAAAACCUCAGCAUUUUCAGAACUGAUCACCCCAAAAUGUUCCCAUCAUCCCUGUAUUUGUCCUUUCUGCUUAAGAAUACUGAUGGCAUGAUAUGCCUGCUUCCCAUGCAAGAGUCCCCUUUGCCUGCAAGUUUCCCUAAUAUCAGUGUUGGGACUCUGGUUUCUGUUCAGCAAAUCCUGGCAGCAUCAAAUUCUUCAUUAGUAGAUCUUGCAAACUUGCAAAAUGGAAGUCCUUCUAGCUUAAUUCUGGUUAAGCCUGUUUUUAUCCUUUUUCCCACGGACAGAGCAGACUUACAGAUGGUGCCCUCUCCUCAGGGUGAAGAUGACCACAGAAGUGCCCUCUUAUUCACAAACAAGCAAGGUCUGACCAUGGUUACCAAUGGACACAGCCGUGAUAUCCCAGAGAAAACCAGCUCCUCGUAUCCCACUAGUGAGUCUCGGAGACCUCAGACUACUCUCUCCACUGCUUCUGACCAGCGAGCAGAGAAAGCAAAAGCAACUUCUCAGCCAGUGCUGACUACUGCGAGUUACGUGGCCAACCCUAGUUCCUUUCAAGCCACUGCCCCAGCAGCAGAUCACUUUCUGGACCUGCAGCUGAGGAUGAGCAUAGCAGCACAGGCUGCUCACCCGCAGGAGAUGCCUGAGGGGCUGCAGGCAGCGCCUGCCCCUUCCCCAGGGGCUGAGGAGCCUUCCCCUGGUGGUACGGCAACCAAGCCUCCUGCCUCCCCAGGGCCACCAGUACUGGUGCCUGCACAGCAUAGCCCUACAGCCCCCACAGGAUUUUUAAAAGCUGAAAAGCCUCUUUCUUCUUCUCUAACCCCUUUGCUGUCAGCAGUGGGGCUCACUGCUCUUCCGAGGCCAGCUCAGCCUCCAUUUACUGUCGCAGGGUCUGGGGAUCAGGGGCAGCGCGGUGUGGGACUGGCGCUACAGACCACCACCCAUGGCCGGGGCUCAGUGAGCCCAUCUUCCUCUGCCCCAGUGCAGUGCACAGAGUGUUUGAGCUCAGCUGGAACUGUAAAAUAUCCAUUAAAGAUGUCCCCAAGCAUUGUGCCUUUGCCGUCCAUGUCACAAAGUCAGCCAAGCACCGAGUCACUCCAAAGGCUGCCGUCACAAGUUGCAUUUGUACCCAGCACCGUGUCGGCUUUCUCAGCAUUUCUAGCUGGAAAUGAUGGCAGAAGCUCAGCAGCGGACAGCACUGCUUCUUCUGGAGUCACUUUGCAUGCUAAAGCAGCAUCAGUCCCCCCCACCUCUAUAAAACCUGAUCUCACCACGCACUUGGAAUUUAUUACCAUGGUGCCCAAGCCCAUGGUCAGGAUGGAGACCCCAACAGCAGUACCAGCACGCACCAUGCUGGCAGCGAAGGUCAAAACAGCAGCUUCUGGGAAACUGCUGGUGACCAGCACCCCCCCAGGGAUGUACAGCACGUCCCCCGUGAGCCUGCCCUCACCGGUGUCUGUGCGAGUUCCCCUGCCAUCCGCUGCGAAACGUGACCAAAGCAGUCAAGCACCUUCUGCAUUGUCCUCACCGGCCAGUGUGGGAGAAAAUGGGAAACCAACUGAAGGCACAAGCCCAGGAAAACGGGGAUUCUUGGGAACCAGCACGUCCCUGCCAGCCGUGUUUAGCACAAAGGCAGAGCAGCCCCCUGCAGCAGCUCUUGGCAGCCAGGCUGGUGUAGCUCCAGCACAGCCGUCUGCGGCUGCAGAGCCUGUGAUUGCUCUCGAGAGUGAGCCUAAAUUAACACAGACCACCUCGCCAUCUCCAUUAGCGGUGACUUCUCUCUCUGCAGCUAAGAAUGAUUAUAUCACCACUUCAGUUACCCAAAAAAAAGUGUUUUUCCUGCCAACAUCAGCUCUCCAAUCUGACCCAAAGGUGGUGUUUCCUACAAUGGCUGUAAUGAACAGCUCAGCUAAGGUCCCUGCAUCAGGGGCAAAGAGUGAGGAUGUGUUUCUGGAAGGGGACACAGCCACUGCCAGCCAGGAGCUCAGCCAAGCAGCCACGUCCUCAGCACCUGAGGCACGGGAGGAGAAGGUGCCCAGGGAAGCCCGCAUGGAGCAGGACGCUGCUGGGCAGCCCACGGGGCCAUCUACAGCAAAAUCACUUUCUGUACCUGCGAGUAAGGUUACCAGCGAGCCAGCUGCCUCCAAUAAAGCAGCUGAGGAUGAUGCUGAGACACUCCUAACCAGAGACCUGAGCCCACUGCCUCCUACCACAGAGAGCCCCUCGCGUCCUGCGGGGGCCAUGGCAGCACGCACAGCGGUGAGCGAUCCGCAGCUGGGUGCCACGGGCACGGAGGCCGAGGAGGAUGCCGAGGAGGAGGCCGGACCACACUGGGUGACCCACAGAGCCCCCACAGGCUCAGAACCUGCCCUUACACCCCUGGGUUCGGAGCCCAGGGUGCUGCUGAGUGACUCCCGGCAGAGGAGGGUUUUGCAGCAGGACGGUGCCGUUCUCAGCGGGAUUGCAGUUGUCAGUGACGAGGCCUGUGGCUCUGGCAACUACACGGUGCAGAUGAGCCUGCGCCCAGUGGAAGAAGCGAGCCCGGAGCUGCAGGGCUCAGCGCUUCCCCAGGACACCUUCCUGGCCUCCCUGGCCAUGCGGAGCAGCAGCAGCCAGCCCGUGCUGCGGGUCCGCUCCUGCUGCGUGACACCCUCCAGCAGCCCGGGGGGCCCCGGCGCCGUGUGCUGCCUCCUCCCCAGGCUGCUACCUGAAUGCAGACACAUCCAGCUGCUGCAGAGCAGCGAGCCCAGAGCUGCCAGCUUCACCAUCCAGCUGUUCCAGAUGCUGAAUCACUCGGUGGCUUAUUUGCACUGCGAGCUCAGUGUGUGUCUGCACGGCAAACCGGGCUGUGAACAGGGCUGCAUUGACAGUGUGGAGCCGCUUCCCCAGCCAGGUGACAGGAACAGCCCUGGGCAGCUGCGCAACCUGAUCUCGUUUGGUCCAGUUCUGCGACUCAAGGACAGGUUUCUCUAUAAGCCUGUGCAAGGUCCCGAUUCUGCCGUGCUGGUGCCCAUUCUGCUGGGGUCCCUGACUGGCUUUGCUGUCCUGGGCAGUGCUUUCAUCAGCCUUUGGCUGCAUCACAGACAGAAAACCAAAAGCCCGGGUUGUCCACGGUUUGGAGAAAUCCGUGGCCUGUGAACUAGGAGCAGCUGACUUCUGCAGAUCCCACAGCACAGCUACAAGAAAAGCGACUGAUUCUGCAUUGCACACUGUAUUGCUUUGUAGAGCUUCUGCAGACCCGGGGAGCAAGCUCUCCAGCCUCUGCCUUAAGCGCAUCUCUCCUGCCUUUCUUCCCUUCAUUCUGAGCUGAUCCACAAGCUGCAGCAUAGAGAGGGCUGUAGGAGCAGCUCAGCUAAAAGGGAGAGCAGAGCUCACAAUGCCAUCUGUGCAAGCACCAGCACGCAGUCUGUUCACAGAAAUGGAAAAGUUGUCAGGGUGCAGGGAUCUACCUAAAAUAAAGCACUAGACUAGAGCCAUGCCAGCGGGCAGACCAGCUUGUUAAGAAAAUAACAAAACUCAAGGUUAGUGGCUGGGAACAGGGAGAGGAACCAAGAGCUUCAGAGAUCCAGCUCAGCAGCUCAUCUCAGCAGCUUUUCUCACGUCUCAGGAGCUGGGUCCCAUUUCUCUUCGCCUGUGCUCGUGCUGGUGUUCUCUUGCUUUUGGUGGAAUCAAGUUUCCAGUAUCCUCCUGUUAGUAAAAUCUACAUAAUGGGAAAAAAAGUUCAGCACACAAAAGCUUUGUCUGUAAGCCCGCGUUUCAGAGCACAUUAAAAACACCCCAUUCACCACCUACAUCCUAAGGUUUCUUUACCCCUGGGGCCAGGAUGCAGGCAGCAAAGGGGCUGUUGCCAGAGCACCUGUGUCAAAUGCAGCAGAGGAGUAGCUCACACUUCUACCUGGGUCCAUUUCCCUACAAGAAUCUCUGCAGAUCUGCUAUGUAGCUACAAAUUCUAGGUCAAAACCCAGUGACAACUACCCUGCAGAAACACUAAUUAUUAUUUGCACAGCAGCAGUGCUAAGGAAAUCAGCACCGCAUUGCAUUCAACAGUGCCUUACCUACACAGCCCCUGUGCUAGGUUCUUAAUGCCAUUUAUGCCCCAGACGAGUGUCAUUAAACCCUCUUUACAGCUUUCAAGGCAUAAAGCAAACUAAAAGCCUGUGUGCAUCAUAGCUCAAAGUGUUUGGCUCUCCUGCGCCCCAGCCCUGCAGUUUAGCCGAAGGGCUGCCCUCCUCCCUACAACCAGCUCUGCACAAGCAGCAGGGAGCGGAGCAGACACAGAAAGCCAUGCUGCUUUGAGCACCGUGCACCCACAACACAUCCCUGUCUGAAGCACGGCAGCUUCUCAGGAACACGGAGAGAGGCUGCGCCUGGCUCAGGAGCUGGGCACAGCACCCAGGCGUGGCCGGGGGCAAAGCGGGGGACACAUGGGGGUCUUCUGCAGUGGGACCAGGGCCCGGGGGGGCAGCGGCUGCCUCUGGGACAGGCGGGGAACUGUCAGGGUGGUGCUCAGCAGGCACCCUGUGGUAACAUGGGUAUGGUGCAGGGGGUCAGAGUUAUCUGGGGGGGGAGCUGGUUUGACCUCAGCACCACACAGCCGCCCCCUUACCCUCCCCUCUCCGGGAUGGGGGAAAGAGUCAGAAAAAUGAAGCCUGUGGGUUGAGAUAAAGACAGUCCACUAGGACGGAAAAUAAAGGAAAAUAAUAACAAUGAUAAGAGUGCCACUAAUAACAACAUGUACAAAACAAGUGAUGCAUAACACAAAUGCUCAUCACCUGCUGACCGAUGCCCAGCUUACCCCCAAGCAGACGGUCCCCCCACCCCAACCACCCCCCAUAUAAUUGUUCAGCAUGACACCCUAUGGUGUGGAAUACCCCUUUGGCCAGUCGGGGUCACCUGUCCUGGGUCUGGCCCCCUCCCA